GAUGAACGCUGGCGGCGUGCCUAAUACAUGCAAGUCGAGCGAACAGACGAGGAGCUUGCUCCUCUGACGUUAGCGGCGGACGGGUGAGUAACACGUGGAUAACCUACCUAUAAGACUGGGAUAACUUCGGGAAACCGGAGCUAAUACCGGAUAAUAUAUUGAACCGCAUGGUUCAAUAGUGAAAUACGGUUUUGCUGUCACUUAUAGAUGGAUCCGCGCCGCAUUAGCUAGUUGGUAAGGUAACGGCUUACCAAGGCGACGAUGCGUAGCCGACCUGAGAGGGUGAUCGGCCACACUGGAACGGAGACGCGGUCCAGACUCCUACGGGAGGCAGCAGUAGGGAAUCGUCCGCAAUGGGCGAAAGCCUGACGGAGCAACGCCGCGUGAGUGAUGAAGGUCUUCGGAGCGUAAAACUCUGUUAUGAGGGAAGAACAAAUGUGUAAGUAACUAUGCACGUCUUGACGGUACCUAAUCAGAAAGCCACGGCUAACUACGUG
rnacentral:rRNA from 1 species